rnacentral:rRNA from 1 species
GCCUGUGGGUUGUAAACCUCUUUUCUCAAGGAAGAAGUUCUGACGGUACUUGAGGAAUAAGCAUCGGCUAACUCUGUGCCAGCAGCCGCGGUAAUACAGAGGAUGCAAGCGUUAUCCGGAAUCACUGGGCAUAAAGCGUCUGUAGGUUGCUUAUCAAGUCUGCUGCUUAAAGACCAGGGCCUAACCCUGGGAAAGCAGUGGAAACUAGUAGGCUUGAGUGUGGUAGAGGUAGAGGGAAUUCCUGGUGUAGCGGUGAAAUGCGUAGAUAUUAGGAAGAACACCAAUGGCGAAAGCACUCUACUGGGCCAUAACUGACACUGAGAGACGACAGCUAGGGGAGCAAAUGGGAUUAGAUACCCCAGUAGUCCUAGCCGUAAACGAUGGAUACUAGGUGUUGCACGUAUUAACCCGUGCAGUAUCGUAGCU